rnacentral:rRNA from 1 species
UAACACAUGCAAGUCGAACGGUAACAGGAAGCAGCUUGCUGCUUCGCUGACGAGUGGCGGACGGGUGAGUAAUGUCUGGGAAGCUGCCUGAUGGGGGGGGAUAACUACUGGAAACGGUAGCUAAUACCGCAUAAUGUCGCAAGACCAAAGAGGGGGACCUUCGGGCCUCUUGCCAUCGGAUGUGCCCAGAUGGGAUUAGCUUGUUGGUGGGGUAACGGCUCACCAAGGCGACGAUCCCUAGCUGGUCUGAGAGGAUGACCAGCCACACUGGAACUGAGACACGGUCCAGACUCCUACGGGAGGCAGCAGUGGGGAAUAUUGCACAAUGGGCGCAAGCCUGAUGCAGCCAUGCCGCGUGUAUGAAGAAGGCCUUCGGGUUGUAAAGUACUUUCAGCGGGGAGGAAGGGAGUAAAGUUAAUACCUUUGCUCAUUGACGUUACCCGCAGAAGAAGCACCGGCUAACUCCGUGCCAGCAGCCGCGGUAAUACGGAGGGUGCAAGCGUUAAUCGGAAUUACUGGGCGUAAAGCGCACGCAGGCGGUUUGUUAAGUCAGAUGUGAAAUCCCCGGGCUCAACCUGGGAACUGCAUCUGAUACUGGCAAGCUUGAGUCUCGUAGAGGGGGGUAGAAUUCCAGGUGUAGCGGUGAAAUGCGUAGAGACCUGGAGGAAUACCGGUGGCGAAGGCGGCCCCCUGGACGAAGACUGACGCUCAGGUGCGAAAGCGUGGGGAGCAAACAGGAUUAGAUACCCUGGUAGUCCACGCCGUAAACGAUGUCGACUUGGAGGUUGUGCCCUUGAGGCGUGGCUUCCGGAGCUAACGCGUUAAGUCGACCGCCUGGGGAGUACGGCCGCAAGGUUAAAACUCAAAUGAAUUGACGGGGGCCCGCACAAGCGGUGGAGCAUGUGGUUUAAUUCGAUGCAACGCGAAGAACCUUACCUGGUCUUGACAUCCACGGAAGUUUUCAGAGAUGAGAAUGUGCCUUCGGGAACCGUGAGACAGGUGCUGCAUGGCUGUCGUCAGCUCGUGUUGUGAAAUGUUGGGUUAAGUCCCGCAACGAGCGCAACCCUUAUCCUUUGUUGCCAGCGGUCCGGCCGGGAACUCAAAGGAGACUGCCAGUGAUAAACUGGAGGAAGGUGGGGAUGACGUCAAGUCAUCAUGGCCCUUACGACCAGGGCUACACACGUGCUACAAUGGCGCAUACAAAGAGAAGCGACCUCGCGAGAGCAAGCGGACCUCAUAAAGUGCGUCGUAGUCCGGAUUGGAGUCUGCAACUCGACUCCAUGAAGUCGGAAUCGCUAGUAAUCGUGGAUCAGAAUGCCACGGUGAAUACGUUCCCGGGCCUUGUACACACCGCCGUCACACCAUGGGAGUGGGUUGCAAAAGAAGUAGGUAGCUUAACCUUCGGGAGGGCGCUUACCACUUUGUGAUUCAUGACUGGGGUGAAGUCGGAACAAGGUA